CUCCAAAUGAGCAACCUCGUAACCUCAUUGCGCCAUUUAAUUAAAAACAAAAAAAGAGAAAAAAGGAAAAAAAACGGAGAAAAAAAAAGAAUUCCUCGUCACGUGCACGGUCUGAAACUGGACAGCGAUGGGUUAUUAUUUUUUUUUCCCCUCCUCCUCCUCCUCCCCACCUGUUUUGUUGUGUCCCUGGUUCUGCCCCAGCCCCUCUGUGCCCCCCUCAGCCAUUCCCAGGAUGGAUAUGGAAUCUCAUGACCAACAGCCACACACGGAGACCUGGCCCUGUCCCUGCUGCUGCCACCGAGCUGAGCCCACCUCCAGCAAACUCCUCCUGCCUCCUCCUCCUCUUCUCACCAGGAAGCGUUUGUUUGCUCCUAAGGAAAAAAAAAAAAAUGGAAAAAACUUGAAAUUCCUCGUGUCCAGCUCAAUGUUGAAGUCCUGGCAGUCCUGGAUCUGAAGCUCCUCAGAGGGGUUUUGUUGCCUUCCACGAGGUUUGGAUCAGCUCCAGCAUGGCCAAUUCCAGAAUUUUCCAUGUUUCCUCCACUGAGUUUGCCUCAUUCCGCGUUUUCCAAAGUGCUGACUCAAGGUCACACUGGGCAUCUCUUUGCCUUGUCUUAAAGUUUACUGUUUCCACCUAAACCCCCGUGAUGUUGAAUCUCUUCUUGGAGUUGAUUGCAGCGGGAUUUCCCCAGGACCCCCCUGCCCCGUGGAGCCUGGAAAGUUCAGCAGAGCUGCAGUGCAAGUGCUUAAAGUGAGAAGUUCCAGUGCAAAAAUCCAAUGUGGUUUUGGUUGGAUGUGGAGGAGAAGAUUGUGUGGCCACCAGCUCUUCACCUUCUUCACAGCAGCAGGAACUUCACCAGAGGAGUUUUUCUCUUGUUAAUCUUCUCAUACCAAGACAAAUUCAGGAAUAAAAGAAUAUUCCAGCUUCUUGGUUUCAGUCCAGGACCCUCUGGAAUUCACUGUGGGAAACUCCACCAGUGGCUGCCACUGGAUCCGAGUAACUCUGGUCCUCAGGAGCUUCUCCAAACAAGCCCUGGUUGGUGCUGCAGCUCCAGGAGAUGUUGGACCUUCAGGAGGGGACAUUUGGAGCUCUGCAGCCCUGCUCUGGAGGAAGAGGCGCAGCCCCUCGUGCUGCUCUGCGACCAGUCACUCCCUGCUUUUCAUCUUGCAUUCCCUUGCCUUGCUUCAGUUGGACUCCAUCAUCUCAAGGUGUUUUGCAGCCUGAAGGAUUUUGUGAUCUAACAGGUGGAGCACUGGCUGUCCCUAAAGGAGCCUAUUACAGCGACCUUAGACGGUCACUGUGGUGAGAGAAGGACGAGAAUCUUGUUUCUUGAUCAGAAGGCUGAUUUAUUGAUAUAAGAUAUAUAAUACAUUAUAACUAUACUCAAAGGAAGAAAAAGAGAGGUUGCAGAGAGCAGCUAUGCUAAGAAUAGAAUAGAAAGAAUGAAUAACAAAGUUCUUUGCCCAGGGAAUCUGUCCCUGAGCUGCUCCUGUGAUUGGCCUUUAAUGGUACACAAGGAAGAUGAGCCAAUCACAGGGACACUGCUACAUUUAACAGCAGCUGAUAACAAUUGUUUACAUUCUUCUUCUGGGGCCCUUUGCUUCCCAGAAGAAGAAGAAAUCCCAAAGAAAGGAUUUCUAUGAAGAAAUGUCUGCGACAGGAGCCCAUCCCACAGGAUUUGUAGGAGUGGGAUGGAGAACAGAGACCAGAGGCUUUCACCAAACACAGCUGGCUUGGACCUGAGGCUGCACCAGCACCAACCAGCACAUCCCAGUUCCUCCUGGGAGCUGGGAAAGGGGACAGGAUCACAACCCUGGCCUGUCCCCCUCCCUGUGCCCCUCAGGGUCACAUUGGGACCACAACUCCUGCUCUCCACAAGAUGUCACAGCUCUGGCUGGGAUGCUCCUGCUGCUGUCGCCUCGCCAAGAGAUGUUCUUCCCCCAUCUCCUCAAACCCUGUGUUUACAACAGACUGGUAAAAAUAAAAAUGGCCAGAAAAGGAGCGUUGGCA
rnacentral:lncRNA from 1 species